AACGAACGCUGGCGGCAUGCCUAACACAUGCAAGUCGAACGAGACCUUCGGGUCUAGUGGCGCACGGGUGCGUAACGCGUGGGAACCUGCCCUUAGGUUCGGAAUAACUCCCCGAAAGGGGUGCUAAUACCGGAGAAUGUCUUCGGACCAAAGAUUUAUCGCCUUUGGAUGGGCCCGCGUUGGAUUAGCUAGUUGGUAGGGUAAAAGCCUACCAAGGCGACGAUCCAUAGCUGGUCUGAGAGGAUGAUCAGCCACACUGGGACUGAGACACGGCCCAGACUCCUACGGGAGGCAGCAGUGGGGAAUAUUGGACAAUGGGCGAAAGCCUGAUCCAGCAAUGCCGCGUGAGUGAUGAAGGCCGUAGGGUUGUAAAGCUCUUUUACCCGGGAUGAUAAUGACAGUACCGGGAGAAUAAGCUCCGGCUAACUCCGUG
rnacentral:rRNA from 1 species